GUUUAAAAUGGAAAUGUACUCCAUUGCAACUUUUCCUAGUUUUAUACUUUCAGAUUCAUGAAGACACUGAAAAGUGAUGAAUCCACAUAACCAUGACACUGGAAAUGAAGUUUGAGUGGCAGUCGGAAUCUAGGAGGAAGCAUUGCUAAGUAAAAAUUUUAUGGAGCUUGACUAAAAAUCCCUGUCAGGGACCAUCAAAAGUUCAGUCCGUGACAUGAAAAAUCUUGCUGGAAGUUGAGAGAAGUUUCUGCCUACUCCAUGAUCCAGGAACACAAGACCUUUACCAACCAGAAAAGUGGAUAGCUGUUCUUCUGCUGGGAAGGUUAAAAAAGAAAGCCAGAAGUGCCAAGCAAUUAAUACCCUCAGAAGCAAGCCUUACCCAAGGAUUAAAUAAAGUGGAUGAUUACAUACCCAAGCUCCUUCAACUCCCAGGGGCAUAAUUCUGAGGUUGACCACUGCUAUUGCCAUAACUCUGGUCCUGCUGUCUACGCAUACUACUGUUGUGACUUCCAGAAGGUGGGACUUGAUAAACCACGCACACUUCCAGUGUUUGGUCAGGGUGACCCUGGGUGCUGCAAGGAUGGACAGUGCUGUUGGCAAGAGAUGACUCUGGUCAGAUUAGAUAAAGACCAUUUAGGGACAUGGAGAUA
rnacentral:lncRNA from 1 species